rnacentral:tRNA from 1 species
GCAAUAGUUCAGUGGCAGAGCAUCUGUUUUGCAUGCAGAAUGUCCCAGGUUCAAUCCCCAUUGGAAUUU